rnacentral:rRNA from 1 species
GAUGAACGCUGGCGGCGUGCCUAAUACAUGCAAGUCGAGCGAACAGACGAGGAGCUUGCUCCUUUGACGUUAGCGGCGGACGGGUGAGUAACACGUGGAUAACCUACCUAUAAGACUGGGAUAACUUCGGGAAACCGGAGCUAAUACCGGAUAACAUGUUGAACCGCAUGGUUCAACAGUGAAAGACGGUCUUGCUGUCACUUAUAGAUGGAUCCGCGCCGCAUUAGCUAGUUGGUAAGGUGACGGCUUACCAAGGCAACGAUGCGUAGCCGACCUGAGAGGGUGAUCGGCCACACUGGAACUGAGACACGGUCCAGACUCCUACGGGAGGCAGCAGUAGGGAAUCUUCCGCAAUGGGCGAAAGCCUGACGGAGCAACGCCGCGUGAGUGAAGAAGGUCUUCGGAUCGUAAAACUCUGUUAUUAGGGAAGAACAAAUGUGUAAGUAACUAUGCACGUCUUGGCGGUACCUAAUCAGAAAGCCACGGCUAACUACGUG